CCGGUUGAUCCUGCCGGAGGCUACUGUCAUCAGAGUUCGAUUAAGCCAUGUUAGUCGAGGGUGCUUCUUCUUCGGAAGAAGUAACCCGGCGGACGGCUCAGUAACACGUGGAUAACUUGCCCUUGGGUCCGGGAUAACCCCUGAGAAAUUGGGGACAAUACCGGAUAGGGCAUCGAUAGCUGGAAUGCACGAUGUCCAAAAGCUGAGGCGCCCAAGGAUAGGUCUGCGGCUGAUUAGGUUGUUGUUGAUGUAAUGGAUCAACAAGCCUGCAAUCGGUACGGGUUGUGAGAGCAAGAGCCCGGAGAUGGGUUCUGAGAAAAGAACCCAGGUCCUACGGGACGCAUCAGGCGCGAAAACUUUACAAUGUGCGAAAGCACGAUAAGGGAACUCUGAGUGCCUCCUAUGGAGGCUGUUCAGGUGUCUAAAAAGCACUUGAAGUAAGGGCUGGGUAAGACCGGUGCCAGCCGCCGCGGUAACACCGGCAGCCCAAGUGGUAGCCACGAUUAUUGGGUCUAAAGCGUCCGUAGCCGGCCAGGUAAGUUCUUUGGGAAAUUUAACCGCUCAACGGUUAAGCUUUCAGGGAAUACUGCUUGGCUUGGGACCGGGAGAGGUCAGAGGUACUUCAAGGGUAGGGGUG
rnacentral:rRNA from 1 species